GAUGAACGCUGGCGGCGUGCCUAAUACAUGCAAGUCGAGCGAAUGGAUUAAGAGCUUGCUCUUAUGAAGUUAGCGGCGGUCGGGUGAGUAACACGUGGGUAACCUGCCCAUAAGACUGGGAUAACUCCGGGAAACCGGGGCUAAUACCGGAUAACAUUUUGAACCGCAUGGUCCGAAAUUGAAAGGCGGCUUCGGCUGUCACUUAUGGAUCGACCCGCGUCGCAUUAGCUAGUUGGUGAGGUAACGGCUCACCAAGGCAACGAUGCGUAGCCGACCUGAGAGGGUGAUCGGCCACACUGGGACUGAGACACGGCCCAGACUCCUACGGGAGGCAGCAGUAGGGAAUCUUCCGCAAUGGACGAAAGUCUGACGGAGCAACGCCGCGUGAGUGAUGAAGGCUUUCGGGUCGUAAAACUCUGUUGUUAGGGAAGAACAAGUGCUAGUUGAAUAAGCUGGCACCUUGACGGUACCUAACCAGAAAGCCACGGCUAACUACGUGCCAGCCGCCGCAGUAA
rnacentral:rRNA from 1 species